CCUCUCGUGGCGUAGGGGUAACGUGCUCUAUCUAGGGAACAAAUAGUCGUAAGUUCGAUUCUCACCGAGAAGA
rnacentral:tRNA from 1 species